rnacentral:lncRNA from 1 species
AUCUCUCCUUACCAUUCUUUGUUAGUGAUCCAAAAGCUUCAGGCCUUAUGAGAGAGCACCAUUUUUACUCACUCUCUCUCCCCCUUGCCCACUCCAUCCCUCUCUCUCUCUCUCUCUGAGCCUUGCCCUCCCUGAUCUUCUCUCUCUCCAUUUUUCACAAGAUUAAGACGUUGUUGAUGUUCUGCUGUUUGGAGGUCUCCUGCAAUUGUUGGUUUUCUUAUUUUUCACAAGAUAAGGGGGUGAGAGUGGAAGAUAUGAUGCUAAAAUGAGAGAUGGUCAUGAUACCUAAUGGAGCCCCCGGUUAGUAUAUGAGCAUUUUGGAUCUUUUCAUAAAGCAAAUUUUGUUUUUGGUUGCUAUUGCUCUUGCCAUAGAACCCUAUAGAACAACUGACUUUUUCAUUUGAAACAUAUAACCACUAAAUCAAUUUAUUGUUUGAUGCAUUGUACCCACUUCAAUUAUUGACUUGUUUGUAAAACUUGGUGAGAAACGAUACGUUUGAAAAGUGUUCAAUAAAAUUUCCAAUAGAGCACUAAUGGAUAAGCACUUCUAUAAAAAAAAGAAAAAGAAAAAAAAACUAUGUUGAUUAAUCGUGAAAACAUCCUAGAUUCUUAAGAAAAGAAAAAAAAGGGCAAAAAUUUCCUUGUUUGGGUUUUAUAUAUUAC